AGUGAACGCUGGCGGUAGGCCUAACACAUGCAAGUCGAACGGCAGCACAGUGAGAGCUUGCUCUUACGGGUGGCGAGUGGCGGACGGGUGAGGAAUACAUCGGAAUCUACUUUUUCGUGGGGGAUAACGUAGGGAAACUUACGCUAAUACCGCAUACGACCUACGGGUGAAAGCAGGGGAUCUUCGGACCUUGCGCGAUUGAAUGAGCCGAUGUCGGAUUAGCUAGUUGGCGGGGUAAAGGCCCACCAAGUCGACGAUCCGUAGCUGGUCUGAGAGGAUGAUCAGCCACACUGGAACUGAGACACGGUCCAGACUCCUACGGGAGGCAGCAGUGGGGAAUAUUGGACAAUGGGCGCAAGCCUGAUCCAGCCAUACCGCGUGGGUGAAGAAGGCCUUCGGGUUGUAAAGCCCUUUUGUUGGGAAAGAAAAGCAGCAGGUUAAUACCCCGCUGUUCUGACGGUACCCAAAGAAUAAGCACCGGCUAACUUCGUG
rnacentral:rRNA from 1 species